AACGAACGCUGACGGUAUGCCUCAUACAUGCAAGUCGAGCGGAGUCCUUCGGGGCUCAGCGGCGGACGGGUGCGUAACACGUGAACAAUCUGCCUUCAAGUUCGGGAUAACGGUUCCAACGAGCCGCUAAUACCUGAUAGGUUAUUUCUGUCGCAUGGCAGGUUUAAGAAAGGUGCAAUUGCAUCGCUUGAAGAUGAGUUUGCGGACCAUUAGCUAGUUGGUGGGGUAAAGGCCCACCAAGGCAACGAUGGUUAGCCGGCCUGAGAGGGUGAUCGGCCACAUUGGGACUGAGAUACGGCCCAGACUCCUACGGGAGGCAGCAGUAGGGAAUUUUGCGCAAUGGACGAAAGUCUGACGCAGCAAUACCGUGUGAGGGAUGAAGCAUUUCGGUGUGUAAACCUCUGUCGUCGGUGAAUAAAGGUGUUGGGAGUGGAAAGCCCAGCAUUUGAAUGUAGCCGAGAAGGAAGCACCGGCUAACUCUGUG
rnacentral:rRNA from 1 species